UAGGGAAUCUUCCACAAUGGACGCAAGUCUGAUGGAGUAACGCCGCGUGAGUGAAGAAGGCUUUCGGGUCGUAAAACUCUGUUAUUGAAGAAGAACGUGUGUGACAGUAACUGGUCAUGCAGUGACGGUAUUCAAUCAGAAAGUCACGGCUAACUACGUGCCAGCAGCCGCGGUAAUACGUAGGUGGCAAGCGUUGUCCGGAUUUAUUGGGCGUAAAGCGAGUGCAGGCGGUCUUUUAAGUCUGAUGUGAAAGCCUUCGGCUUAACCGAAGAAGGGCAUCGGAAACUGGGAGACUUGAGCGCAGAAGAGGAGAGUGGAACUCCAUGUGUAGCGGUGAAAUGCGUAGAUAUAUGGAAGAACACCAGUGGCGAAGGCGGCUCUCUGGUCUGUAACUGACGCUGAGGCUCGAAAGCGUGGGUAGCAAACAGGAUUAGAUACCCU
rnacentral:rRNA from 1 species